AGGAAAUUUACAUGCAGGAUCUCGCUUGGUUCCCUAGGACCCUAUUAAUAUAAGGAGUGUUGUUCUCACUUUGCAGACCAGGACACAGACUAGGAGAGAUUAAGUAAUUUGUCCACUGCCAUUCAGCCAGUGAACUUCUGAACCCAGGCCCGUCUGCCCUGCUGGUCCGUGCUUUCCCCCAGAGGGAAGGGGUUGUCUGGCUCCCAGGUGGCCUCUCCCAUCUCCCUGAUGGCCUCAUCCUCAGGUCAUGCAUCCCUUCUGGUCCUUGCCGUUGCUACUAACUCAGUUGGCAGCACGCAGGAUCAGAGUUAGACAGCAGGAAGGACUUCCCGAGAGGCUGUGCGAUGGAAUGACAUUUCCUUUCCUACAGAUGUUUAUGAACCCUUCAUUUUUGGCAGGGAAGGAGGGUGGGUGUGACGGGGACACGUAAUCACCAGCUCUCUGUGAACCUUGGCUGUCGUCUCUCUUGGCGGUUAAGCUCUCUGUGACCCAUGUUGGCUGGAACAUGGGGGAAGUCCUGUGGCUUUGGCCAGGGUGGCUCAUGGGGCUGCUGGGAGUGGAAGUGUUGAGGCUGACCCGUCGUCUCUGAUCCUGGAUUCCAGGCCGGCCUCUGGGCUUCAGACUUUGCCACAGCACUCUUCCUUCCAGGUUUGGGCCUCCUUGCCAAGGGUUGAAGCCUCCCAUUGACAUAGGUCCAGGGGUCCUGAGUCAGGGGUCUGCCACAACAGGCCGGGAGUCUGCACACCCCGAGUGGCCUCCGAGCCACCUCCUCUGUGCCACAGUGAUCGUGCUGACCAUCUAAUGAGACCUGCAGGGGGUAGCAGCUUGAUAGGGAAUCAGACUGGAAGCUGAGGAAGAGGUCCAGAAGCUUCUGCCUAAAUGGGGGUAGGGAUGGGCGUGGGAGGCAGGGAUUUGGAUGUCUUUGGGUUAGAGGUGGCAGUUGACUCAAGGAGCAUGGAUGCUGGCACAGGGAGAAGGGAUAGCGUUUGAAGAGAGGAUGCCUGGGGCAUUUGAGGCUUUGGAGAGCACCCAUACCUGGGGGGGGGGCGGUGCAGAGAGGAAGGAGGGGGGGAACUGAGGAGGCUGUGUUCUGGGAGCCAAAGAAGCAGCCAGGGACCAGCAGAGGAUGAGCCUAGGAAAGACCCUGGGAUUUAGGCAGAAGGUGGUGGCUGGUGACUUGGUGAGAGGAGCGUGGAUGGAGCCGUGGGGGCAACGCUGGGCUGCAGGGGCCGUGGGGGAGGGGGGAGGACCUUGCUUUCUGUGCCUGAGCUUCUGGGAGGAAGGGCGUGAGGCCCUGGGCUGGCAGGCGGUAGGGGCUCUGAGUGUGGGAUCUGCAGGGCGAGGCUCACCGGAGGGCGAGGAGGGACAAUUGUGUGGCUCUGGUCACAGGGGGGCAUGUCGGAGCUGCCUCAGGCUGGGGGUCUUGAGGAAGGCUUCCUGGAGAAGGUGCCCCCUGCUUGGGUCUGGGGCAUGAGGAAGGCUGAGGUGUCCUGGACAGAAGGAGGAGCCUAGGCCCAGGUGCAGGCGUGGGAGUGUGGAGGUGCCGAGGGAGGUGGCAGCCCUGGGGAGCAGGCUUUGGGUGCUGGGGUGGGUGGGUCUGAAGGCCCCUUCUACUCAUGUAGUCACACCUCAGAUGUCUUUGGUGAGCUCCUUUUCUUUUCUUUUUUCUUUUCUUUGCUGCACCUGCCACAUAUGGAAGUUCCCAGACUAAGGGUCGAAUCAGAGCUGCAGGAGCCAGCCACAGCCACAGCCACAGCAACGCCAGAUCUGAGCCGCGUCUGUGACCUCCACUGCAGCCUGUGGCAACUCCAGAUCCUUAACCCACUGUGCGAGGCCAGGGAUGGAACCCACACCCUUUAUGGAUACUAGUCAGAUUCUUAACCUGCCAAGCCACAACGGGAACUCGGGGCUAUUUCUGUUUCCUGUUUGCUGGUCCAUUGAUCAGCUGUGGGUCUGGCUCCUAGGAGAUGCCUGGCAGGGCUUUGUUGACGUGCCUGAGCUGUCAGCCCGGGGGCUCUGGCCCUGCUGCAAUUACAGCUUUCCCGUUGGGGACCCAAGGAAGGAAGCCCUGCUUCCCACAUUAGACUGGGUGUUGGGGGGCCUCCUCCAUCAGAUUGGGAGGUCCUAAGGGAGGGGAUGUGCCCCCCAUCAGCAUAGGCUUCCUGCAAGUGAGCCUGUUUCCCGCUCAUCGGACGGCCUUCUGCAGGUGGGAGCCGUGUCUUUGGCAUCGGACCCGGGGCUCCCAGCGGUGGGACGCGUCUCCAGUCCGAGCCCUGGGAUUAGGACGGGUAUUAACCCUGAUGGUUCCCGAGCAUCCUCCCUCCCUCCUGUGUGCAGGAUGGGUCCUGCCUGGGGGUGGCUUGAGUCCUAGUAGGACAAGUAUAGACAGAGCGGGUGGGGAGGACAGGGUGGCUGCUUUUGAGAGAAGAACAAAGGACGCUGUUGUCCCAGCCCCCUCCCUCCCUCCCAAGGGGCCCCGGGCAGGGUCAUCUCUCUGGAGACGCACCUCCUCCUUCCUGGGCCCGGCCCCAUCUUUAGUCCCACUUGAGAGGAACUGCUUGUUCCUUCCCAAGAGACCUGGUGCCAGACGAGGCCCCUGGGAGGCCAGGCCCCAGGGACUGGACCGGACAGGUCCCUGGAGUUCUGUGUGGUUGAAGUCAGCAUGGCCACUGAGCAGCUUUCCCUCUGCCUAGAGCCGGGCCCGACUGGGCUGAGAGCACAGCCAGUGUCAUGGGCCCUCUGGUACCUCAAGAGGGAUCCGGAGCAGGUGCGAUGCUGUGGCCCAUGCUGGGCCACCAGAGGCAGGACUCACCUCUCUGGCUCUGAGCUGUUCAGUGGCUGUGCAGGGGGCACCCGGAGGCCCAGAAGCUGAACGGGUAUGGAUCUGCAUGAGGCAGGCGCUCUCUCCCAUCCUGGCCCUGGGCCUCUGGCCCCACACUUGGUCCUCUUGUCCUUUUGCAGCCUCCCGCCGCCCCCCAGCCUGUGCAAUCAGUGGGCAUGGAUGCGUUUUGGCAAAGGACAAGGAAGGGGGUGGGGAGUGGUCUACCAGGAUGUGCCAUCUCAGAAGGGUCCCAGAGGUAUGCUCUAAGGCUUGCUCAUUGCUGUGUGACCUUGGGCAUGAUAUUCACCCUCUCUGGACUUGGUGUCCCUACUGAAGUCAAAUCAGCUGGAGUGUAUGAAGCCCUUCUCCCAGAGUCACCUGUUUUUCUGUGUUCUGCUAGGGGCCUUGGGGGUGACCUUCCUUCUGAGGGGGCAGAAAAGGGAGACUGGGCAACUCAGGCCUCUGCCAUACUCCAGUGGGACUGAGACCCCCGGCGGAGCUGGGCCUGGGGGGCUGUGAGUCAUGCUCUCUCUGUGGGAUCAGGCCCUCGCCGCAGCAGCCUCCCACCUCCCAAAGCACCUGCAGGAACCACCAGGCAGGUCCUGGAAGAUUGCAUUCUCUCUGCCCACGCUGUGCCCUCCUCUGAGUGCCCACAGCCCUCUCUGGGAUCUGAUUAGCAAAUAUUAGGGGCUGAUUAGCCUAGUGGUUAGGCUAUAGGAAGAACCAGAUUUCCUGGUUUCAAAUACCAGCUCUGCCACUUACCGGCCUGGUGACCUCUGCUGAUUAUUUAACCCCUUCUCUGCUGUAGCGCCCUCCUCUGUAAAAUGGAGUAGCAGCAGUGCCUGCGUCGUGGGUUGUCUCGAAGAUUAAAUGGGUUAAGAUCGGUACGCCUUGGAGACAAGUCCCCAGCCCAAGUGCAGUGUCAUACGAGGUGACCUCGCAGUGCCCUUCCUGUCCUUCAAGGCCCGAAUCACAUGUGCCCUCCUCUGGGAAGCCCCCUGCCCCGGAUCUCCAAGUGCCUCGUGACUUCUUUUCAGCUGUAUAUUCAUUCUCUCGCUUUCUGUCAGCACUCAUCCUUCCCUCUCUUUGUGGGUUCUUUGCACACUCGUGAUGUCCUCUGUGUGAGGCCAAGGGCACCUGGCGGGGGCCUCUUGUCCCUUUGCACCUGUGCAGACCUGGCGUGGCCCGAGCUCCAUACGUUCGGCGAAGGAGGGUGAUGUAGGCAUACUUGGGGAUGGGCAGUGUGGUGGGUGGGACAGCAUUGCUGAUUCUGAAAUAUCUAAAGGUGGCCCAGAGCCACAGGCCUUAGGUUAUUUUCUGUGCUUUGAAGGGCGGAGGUUACCGCAUGACUGGCUUUACUUUGCUAGGAGAAUGUGUUUUCAGACAAGCAGAGCUACCUGGCGACGGGAUUGGUGGCUCCUUCCAGCCUUCGUGCCUUUGUUCCUGUUGCGUCUGCCAUUGCGAAUGGCAUCCUUGGAGUUCCCUUGUGGCUGAGGGGUUAAGGACUUCCCAUUGUCAUUGCUAUGGCUUGGGUCGCUGAGUGGCAUGUGUUUGAUCCCUGGCCUGGGAACUUCUGCAAGCCAAGGGUGCAGCCAAAAAAAAAAGAAAAAGAAAAAGAAUGAGAGAAGGCCAUCGCUGCUUCUCUCUGUUCAAAUUCUACUUCCUAAAUACAUGCCCAGCCAUGGCGCCAUCCUUUCCCGGCCCCCAGAGGUGGGCUCUCAUUUCAUCACGCCCAUCCUCAGACAGCUCCUGGGUCGGGGCAGUGACAUGGGAGAGUAGGGUGGGUUAUUUGCACACUCGUGAUGUCCUCUGUGUGAGGCCAAGGGCACCACGUCUCCCUUUGGAACAGACAUCUGGAUCUGGCUCCAGGGUAUCCAGGGUGGUUUGACCUGACUUGAGGAGGGGACCAUGGCUUCUGAUGACCCACUGGUGAUCAAGGAGCUCUUUAUGUGGCUGGAGAGCCCUCCCUUGGCCCACUGGCAGAGCGCUGAACUCCCCAGCAGCUUCCCACUGGGCAAGGACUCAGAACCCACCUAAUUACUGGGGACAGAGUUCUGGGCACUGGAUCCAGCAGGCUGUGGUCAUAAUCAGCUAAUUAACCCCCCCCCCACCCCAGGCAUUGCUCCUUGGCCAGAGGAGCAGAGGGAAGGGGGCCUUGAGGCUCAGAAGAGAUGUGAAGACACGGUGCUGUGCCGCGGGAGUUCAGACCCUGGGUCGGCUGAGCAGAGGUGGGCAGGGCAGCAGGGAGACCCACAGCCGAUGAGAGAGGGGGCUCCUUGGGCGCAGCACUCAAGUGAGAGGAAGCGGGGCAGGGGUCUGGGCUGGGAGAUGGACCCCACUGUUCACGGUCCCUGUGAUGUUGUGGACGAGCCGCUUUUCCGCUUUGGGCCUCAGUGUCUCUGUGUGUCAGGCAGCAGGGGGAGAGGGCUUGGCCUGGAAGGUCUCCAGGACCCUCUGCUUCUCAGUUCUGCGGCUGGCGAGGGGGUGGCCUAAACAGCAGGCUGUGUUUCCGCCCAACAGCUUGGCCUCGAGCAAGCCCGUCUUCUGGAAGGGACAGGCGGGGCUCCAGGCUGAUCCAGCCUGAGACCGAGGCACUGGAGGUUAAUCAGAAGGGAAGACUGCAGGGGGCAGCAGGCGAGCCCUGUCAUGCCCUUUUCCCUGCCCUGUCCUCGUGACUGGCCUGUGGUCCCCAAAUGAGUGUCCUCAGCCAGUGACGGUUUGAGGCUGUGCCGUGUCUUUUCCAACAGUCUGGAAAUUUCCCAAGUAGCGCACCCAGAUGUGUGGGGAUGGGGCUUCCCGAAGGUCAAACCACCGGUUUCUCUGUGUGGAUUUCGGAAUCACACCAACUUGGUUUUGCUGCCCCACAGGUGUUGUGCACCAGCUCCACGACCCUGGGUGGGGGGUCUUAAACUCUCUGCGCAUCCGUUUCCUCAUUUGUGAAAUCAGGGGCAGGGAGGGUAGGGAUUUGCCAAAAGCCAUUUGCUCUCUGUCGCCUCUCUCCCUGCCCCCACUCCCGUUGUCCUGGCCCAGGCUGUGUGCCCUGCAGGGUUUGCAGGGGUGGGGGCUGUUCUGGGGCCAGAGGAGAAGGUCAGAGGGUGGCUGGAAAGGGAAGUGAGAUUGCCCAGGCCCAGGGCGGGGUGGAGCAGUGGGUGCUGGUGCAGCCCGGGCCCUCUCCCUUUCGGGCCCCUCACUUACAGGGGUGCUCUAGGAGGAAGUGGGGAGAACUCAGGGGAGCAGGAAGCCGGGGGCGGGGAUGGGCGUGUGGAGGGCUCCGGGCCUCUUUCCCUUGGCCCCCCCUCCCCAGGUGGCGGGGGCAGAGCCCAGAGCCUGGUUUUCUGCCAGGGAAGCCAGCAGGCGGCUGUUUCACACACUCCGACAGCAGCCGCCCUUCCUGGUUCUCAACCCCUAGCGGGAGGUGCUUGCUUGAAGCCCGGCGCUUGGAAGGAGGCGGGGAGGCCUGCCGAGGUCUGGAGGAGAGGCGGCGAAGGAGGAGGAAGGCUGCCUCCCCCUCUCCCAGGUCCCCCUGCAGCGCUGGGCUGUGACAGGCCAGCGCCUGGGACUCCGAGGAAGCUGCUUACAUAACUCUGCCGGACUCCCGGCUUCCUCUUGCAUUGCUCCCUGGAGGGGCCAUGCAGGAGCCACCGCUUUGCUUUGAUUCCCGGGUCCGAGAGGUCCUGAUGACCAUGCCCCUGCCUCAGGCGGCGGCGGUGUGUGCUGCCCACACCAUCUCGGCAGGAGAGCCGUGUGCCGGCCUUCGUGGAGGCCCCGGGCUGCCUCUGCGCCCUGCCCGCUUCCCACGCUCCUGGAGCGGAGCUGCCAAGGGGAGAAGCCUCAUUAGAGGAAGCAGGCCGUGUCCUGAGCUCAUUUGCCUGCCAAGGGCUCAGAGGGGAGCUGACCUCUCUGCCAGCAGAGGAACAGAGAGGCAGCACUUCUCAGUUUGUUCCCCUCGGUUCUACAAACAUCGCUGGGUGCCAGGCCCGGACGUCCACGCGAGGCACGUCCCCGAAGCCAGAUGGCCCCCCGCGGUGGCGAGUGUCUCGCCCGCCCGGGAGGAAGCUGGCUUAAGGAGCAGCUCUGCUUCUGUCUCCCACCUGAGCCUGCCCUUUCUCGCAGGCUGGGGCCUGGCCGUCCUGGGUUCGGGGGUGGCAGGGCCCUCGUGAUGAGGACACACGGGGGUGCCCCUGGGCUGGGUGUUGUCAGCCGCGCUGUCCUCCCAAGGAGGUUGCCGUGAACAAACACAUCUGUGAGUAUCUGCCACAUCACAGGCCUGGGGCCGGGCCCCCGAGGUAUGAAGAGGAAACAGACAAGUCUCAGGCCUUGUGCUGCUUAAAGCUUUUGGGGGGAGAGGAAAUAGAUCAUCCCAACAUGCUAUGAGAAGGGGGGAUUGGUUUACACCGCGGGCAGAGCAAGCCCAGUAGUGAGGGUUGGAGGCAGCUGCCCAGAAAGGGGGGGCGGGGGUCGCUGUAACAAGGUUUUGGAGGCAAGUUUGACAUGAACCAGAGGUGACACUUGUCUUGGUGGUGCCUGUGAGCGAUGUCCCCAGCGGGAACUGACUUCCUUCACCAGAUUCUCAGGACGCCACUCUGUGCCAGGCGCAGAGUCGGAUGCUCAAUUCAGCGGCUCUCCGUAAAGGCUGUCCUGGGACUGCAAACAUUUAGGGGUGCAAAGCGAAAGUUCUCCCAGGUGGCAUCCCAGUGAAUGGUUGAGCCUGAAGAGACGUGGCAGGUGUAAGAGGAGACACCGGGCUAAGCAACUCCUCCAUGGAAACCAGGGGCUGCCCUGGUCUCUGCUGGCAGAGGGCAGGGGGAGCAAAGCCCUUCCUCCAGCCAGGAAGACCCACCAGAGGUCAUUCAGCUGUUCUGGGAAGGAGUGAUGGACGUGCAAGAGCUGGGAAACCGUGUCUUAUGAGAAAAAGCUCUAGGCUUGGGGCUGGGGUGGGGACAGGGCACAGGUACCACCUGCAGCUCUGAGGGCCACCUCUGGGAGGACCCAGGCCAGGCGGUGGCGGUGGGGGUGGCAUGGUAGACAGAGGGUGCUCGUCUGGGCUUCUCACCUCCCCUCUCUCAGUAGGUUUGUGUCUGUGGGCUGAGUUUUUCAGCCUCUGGGCAUGGGGUUUCCAUCCCUGCUGUGUUGUAUCUGUGCUCAUGAAAGCGCCCAGCACAUUAGCAGGUUGAUUUUUUUGUGGGUCUCUAUAGCUCCAGGGCAGUGGAAGAAACCCAGAAGCAUUUUUCAUCUCCGGGAGGAGAACUUUCUCUUUUUUUUUUUGGCAACAGAUUUUAAUUUCCUAAAAAAAAUGACAGAGAUGAUCACAGGGCCUAAUGGAGUGGUUAAUAUGCACAUAUUCAUUUUUCAUCUGAUUUAGAGUGCUGACUUCAGCAGCAGCGUCGCCCUGUACAUACUUGAAACAAUCCAGCCGUCUCUGAUGGUCACAACCUUUUGAGUCAACAUCACAAAAAAAAAAAAAAAAA
rnacentral:lncRNA from 1 species